rnacentral:lncRNA from 1 species
CACAUUAUAUGAUUUCGUUUAUAUGAAAUGUCCAGAAUAGACAAAUCUACAGUGACAAAGUAAAUUAGUGGUUGCCAAGGACUGGGGUUGGAAUGGGGAGUGACUGCUAAUGGGCAUAGAAUAUUAUUUUGGGGUGAUAAAAAUGUUCUAAACUUGAUUAUAGAAAUGAGACAGGAUAGUUCCCUUGACCCACUUCGUGGGUGGGAAUGGAAGUGGCUCAUUUCACUUAGCCUGCCACUGGCCACUCCUCAUGAGACAGAGUGUGCCAGCAAGGGAGUGUGGGAACUGGAGAGAAUGAACCCUGGACCUGGCCACUCUUCUCUGGCGGAAGCAGGUUCCGUGCGGGCCCUACAGCAGCAUCCAAGCCCCUGUCCUCUCGGCACCUGAGUUCUUGUUUGGCAUCCAGGAAGAAUUAGGUCACCCACACGGAUUGAAAGGUAGUGUAUGUAGAAGAUUUUACUGGGUAAUGGCUCUCAGCAGGAUGGGAGUUGGAAAGGGGAUGGUGCGGAAAGAAAGUGAUUUUUCCCUGAAGCCACACCAUCUGAAGUUAGCGGCGUCUAUCUGUAGUCUCUGACACUCAGUUGCUGCUUCUCUGCUUGCUGCGCAUAUACCCGGCGCUCAGCCGCUUGUGUUGCUCUGCCAGCUGAAGUCUUUUUUAUAUGGGCACAGGAUAGGAGCAUGGCAGGCCAAAAAGCAACAUUUGAGGGCAAAAAUGGGGUGAGCUGUUUUCACACAGGGCUGUGGUUCCAGGUUUAAGGGUGGGGUUUAGCCAGGAGCCAAGCCGUUCUGUAUCAUUUCCCCCCUCUGAAGAGGCACAUCUAACUGCCAUUAGGAUAUGGACAACGACCAGUCUUUCCGUUGUUUAACGAAAGCGGCAGUUGGAUUCCUCCCAGAAGUCUACCCAAGGAUCCCCAGCGAAAGGGAGCCAUAGUCCGAGGCUCUGGCUGCCUGCCUGUUUGGAGCUUUGAUGGCCUCGAGGUGAGAGAAAAAACAAGCUUUACAUGGCCAAAUAUGCAUGGAUCAAACAUGUAUUAUACAAGGAAAGAAUCUAGUGUGAAAUAUUACAGAAAUAAAAAGUGAAAUAUACUAGUAACAUUGUACCCCAAGCUGUCUCACGCUGGUGAAAGAAAUUAAACCUUGUAUGGGAGAAGUUAAACUUUAUGAGAGAGAUAAGUGCUCUUGUCACAUCUGUGGCAGUUAACAGGUGAACCUGAGGAAUUCUGGGGUCUGUGGGCUUGCAUGGUGGUCAUUAAAGCUUCUGCCUCUUCCUUGUGUCUAAAUGACCAAGGUGGCUACUUUCAGGAGGUCCCCUAAAGUACUAUCUGGUCCCAGGGUGCAUUUCUAAGUAUAAACUGGAGGUGGUCACGUUUGUUGGUUGCCCAUUCUGAAAGACAGGGAAUUUGGCGUCUCUCAUUCCCUUUCUUCUUUCAGUGAAAUUUCGAGGUGUGAGGGAGAAAGAAAGCGGGCAUUCUCCCUUUCUGUUCUUUUUGUCUGAGUCUCGGCAACCUUGGCAGGUGCCACCCAUGGGUGCCAAUGUGGCUUGCACCCAGGAAGCAGGGAGGGCCUAGAAAAUAGGAAUUACGCACACUCAUCUGUGCUUCUACCUCCCCUACUGUCGACAACCUUUGAGUUCCCUGGGCCUCAUUUAUACCAUGGAGCAUGGCUUCCUUGCAUGAAGCGGGGGGUUAAUUGGCAGGAAUCGGUCCUGCCCAUUUACACUGGGACUGUUGCGUGGCUUCGGUUCCCUCAGAUCUGGUUUUCCUUUCUAGGGCCUCAACCUGAAGUUUAGAAUCAAGUUUGAGACCAAAAAAGAAGGUAUUUCAGAGGCUGCAUGGAUUCAUUUAGAUUUAAGUCCCACAUGGACUUUGCCAAAUUUGCAGUUAUCAGCCAGGAGGGGUUGCUCCUCUGUUGCCUCCCUAACAUAAGCAAAGUGCUGAGGCCCCCAGAUGAGACAGGAUUGUUCCCUUCAUCUUAACCCCCUUCGUGGGCGGGAACUGGAGCAGCUCAUUUCACUCAGCUCGCCUCCUGCCACUCCUGGCGGCAGAGCGUGCGAGUGCGGGAACCGGAGCGACCGAAUGCUGGAACCGGCCGGUCACUCCUCUCUGGCGGGAAUAGGCUCUGUGCGGGCCUCACAGCAGCGUCCAAGCCCUGGCCUCUCGGCACCGGGGUACCUGUCCGGCGUCCAGGAAGAAUUAGGUCAUAUGAACGGAUUGAAGAGUAGUGUAUGCGGAAGAUUUGAUUGAGUGGUGGCUCCUGGUGGGAUGGGUACUGGAAAGCAGACGGUGAAAGAGGGUCAUCUUUCCCUGAAGCCGCACCAUCUGAAGUUAGCUGCGUCUAUCUGUAGUCUUCAACACUCUUGCUGCUUCUCUGCUCACCGCUCAGCCGCUUGUGUUGCUCUGCCAGCUGAAGUCUUUUUUAUGGCCACAGGAUAGGGGCGUGGCAGGCCAAAAAAACAACAUUUGGGCAGAAAAACAGGGUCAGCUGUUUUCAAGGCCGUGAUUCCAGGCUUAAGGGUGGGGUUUAGCUGGGAACCCAGCCAUUCUGUAUCAGUGAUAGUUGCACAACUAUAAAUAUACUAACAACCAUUGAAUUGUGUACUUUAAGUAGAUUAACCGUAUGAUAUAUGAAUUACAUCUCAGUAAAGUUGUUUUUUAAAAAAUAUGCAUAUACCUUAGUCUAGCCGUUCCAGGUCAUAUACUACAGCGAUAGUAACAAAGAUAUAAUAUGUGGUUUAUAAUAAUAAAUAUUGGAAAUACUUAAUCUUGCAAAUGCAUGAUCAGUAAGGUAGUGGAGGCAAAAACUAGGUUUCCCAGGAGCUUCAGGCUUCUCAACUUCCAAGUAGUAAUCUCAAGGAAGUACGUACUCUGACUGAAACUGUUUAUGUCACAGACCUACUCCUUAGACCAAUCACUGUUCCCAUAGAGAUAGCUCAUUAUGAUUUGUGGAGUCAGAAUCAUGUGCCCACUGCUGAAAUCAGGAAUUCAGGGUCCUGGGAGAGUCACCCGUGCCACCCACCUAAUGUUUUCUGGAAGUUUGACUUUAAAAGGAAGAAGACAGCAAGAGAUCAAUAUAGCUAGAGUGUGGAGAUGAGGUGUUUUCUUUAAAAUAGAGGUGACUUGAACACGUUUAAAUGCUUGUGCAAAGUAGCCAAUAUAGAGGGAGCAGUUAAAGACACAAAAGAAAUAGAAUAUUUCUAAUCAAUAGAUCUCAGGAAAUUAUUAUUUCCCACUAUCCCUCAGAAAAUUAUAUUCAAUAAAGGAAUUUGUUUCUGGCUCCUUGGAGGAUUAACUUUCCUUUUCAUGCUUAGGCAAUACAAAGUUGAAUCACCACUUUAAACCACAUUACACAGACUAGAAGGUGAAACUCCAAUGCCCAGGCCAUUAUGUUAAUCAAUACUUCAACCUUCUUUUUUUUUUUGAGACAGAGUCUACGCUCUCGUUGCCCAGGCUGGAGUGCAAUGGCGCAACCUCAGCUCACUGCAACCUCUGCCUCCUGGGUUCAAG